UACGUAGGGACCAAGCGUUGUUCGGAUUUACUGGGCGUAAAGGGCGCGUAGGCGGCGUGGUAAGUCACUUGUGAAAUCUCUGAGCUUAACUCAGAACGGUCAAGUGAUACUGCUGUGCUAGAGUGCGGAAGGGGCAAUCGGAAUUCUUGGUGUAGCGGUGAAAUGCGCAGAUAUCAGGAGGAACACCGGUGGCGAAGGCGGGUCUCUGGGCCGUAACUGACGCUGAGGAGCGAAAGCGUGGGGAGCGAACAGG
rnacentral:rRNA from 1 species